rnacentral:rRNA from 1 species
GAUGAACGCUUGCGACAGGCCUAACACAUGCAAGUCGAGGGGCAGCGGGGUGUAGCAAUACACUGCCGGCGACCGGCGCACGGGUGCGUAACGCGUAUGCAACCUACCCUAGGGCGGGGGACAGCCCGGCGAAAGCCGGAUUAAUACCGCACGAAGCAGUUACCUCGCAUGAGGAGAUUGUGAAAGGAUUUAUCCACCUUGGGAGGGGCAUGCGUUCCAUUAGGCAGUUGGCGGGGUAACGGCCCACCAAACCGACGAUGGAUAGGGGUUCCGAGAGGAAGGUCCCCCACACCGGUACUGAGACACGGACCGGACUCCUACGGGAGGCAGCAGUGAGGAAUAUUGGUCAAUGGGCGAGAGCCUGAACCAGCCAAGUCGCGUGAAGGAAGAAGGACCUAUGGUUCGUAAACUUCUUUUUGAGGGGGAUAAAAGAGGGGACGAGUCCCUUAUUGCAGGUACCCUCAGAAUAAGCAUCGGCUAACUCCGUGCCAGCAGCCGCGGUAAUACGGGGGAUGCAGGCGUUAUCCGGAUUUAUUGGGUUUAAAGGGUGCGUAGGUGGGAGCAUACGUCAGCGGUGAAAGGCAGUCGCUUAACGACUGGAUUGCCGUUGAAACGGAGUUUCUUGAGAGAGCGCGAGGUAUGCGGAAUGCGUGGUGUAGCGGUGAAAUGCUUAGAUAUCACGCAGAACUCCGUUUGCGAAGGCGGCAUACCGGCGCUCAUCUGACACUGAGGCACGAAAGGCGUGGGGAUCAAACAGGAUUAAGAUACCCUGGUAGUCCACGCCGUAAACGAUGAUUACUCGGAGUUUGAGUGUUAAUAAAGUCAAGCUCCCAAGCGAAAGCGUUAAGUAAUCCACCUGGGGAGUACGCCGGCAACGGUGAAACUCAAAGGAAUUGACGGGGGCCCGCACAAGCGGAGGAACAUGUGGUUUAAUACGAUGAUACGCGAGGAACCUUACCCGGGUUUGAACGCAGGCGGACGGAAGGGUGAAAGUUCUCUUCCAGCAAUGGCCACCUGCGAGGUGCUGCAUGGUUGUCGUCAGCUCGUGCCGUGAGGUGUCGGCUCAAGUGCCAUAACGAGCGCAACCCCUGCCAUCGGUUGCCAGCAGGUAAAGCUGGGGACUCCGAUGGGACUGCCGGCGUAAGCCGCGAGGAAGGCGGGGAUGACGUCAAAUCAGCACGGCCCUUACAUCCGGGGCGACACACGUGUUACAAUGGCGGGGACAGAGGGCAGCCAUCCGGCAACGGAGCGCUAAUCCCUCAAACCCCGUCCCAGUUCGGAUCGGAGUCUGCAACUCGACUCCGUGAAGUCGGAUUCGCUAGUAAUCGCGCAUCAGCCAUGGCGCGGUGAAUACGUUCCCGGGCCUU